rnacentral:rRNA from 1 species
GACGAACGCUGGCGGCGUGCUUAACACAUGCAAGUCACGGGGGCCCGCAAGGGCAACCGGCGAACGGGUGCGUAACACGUGAGCAACCUACCGAUUUGUGGGGGAUAGCCGGCCCAACGGCCGGGUAAUACCGCAUACGCUCGCUGAGGGACAUCCCUUGGCGAGGAAACCUCCGGGGCAAAUCGAGGGGCUCGCGGCCUAUCAGCUAGUUGGCGGGGUCAUGGCCCACCAAGGCGACGACGGGUAGCUGGUCUGAGAGGAUGGCCAGCCACAUUGG